rnacentral:lncRNA from 1 species
AAAGAAUACACCACGAGGACCAUUUGACUGUCCCCUCUGGCUCCUGCAUCUUGCUUCCAGCAUGAACAGACAGGUUUCAUUUGAGAGGAUCUGGCCCAGUGUUUUUGAAAGUUGGCUCACAGAACAGAAGCUCUGGGAAGGGAGAUAUGGGGAAAAGAAAAAAAAUACUUGCUACUUUUAAAAAUGUACCUUUGAAAAAAGUAGAAGAAAAGGAUGCAAAGAUGAGGAAAAGGAUGGGUUUCAUUUCUACCUUCCAUGAAGUUUGAUUAUCAGUGAAAUGCAUAGUGAAGGAAUCACAAAACAAGAUAAAUGAUUUUAAAGACCACAACACAUGGAAUAAUUAUCUUGUUAUGAAGAAAAGUGGACCAAAUACCCACAACAGAAGAG